UACGUAGGUGGCGAGCGUUGUCCGGAUUUACUGGGCGUAAAGGGAGCGUAGGCGGACUUUUAAGUGAGAUGUGAAAUACCCGGGCUCAACUUUGGUGCUGCAUUUCAAACUGGAAGUCUAGAGUGCAGGAGAGGAGAAUGGAAUUCCUAGUGUAGCGGUGAAAUGCGUAGAGAUUAGGAAGAACACCAGUGGCGAAGGCGAUUCUCUGGACUGUAACUGACGCUGAGGCUCGAAAGCGUGGGGAGCAAACAGGAUUAGAUACCCCCGUAGU
rnacentral:rRNA from 1 species